CUUCCGGGUCAGAGUUCAUCCCACACUACGUUAUCAACAAAGCUCGACGAAGCCAUGCUAGCGCAGUGGAACGACCUGCUAUUUGUAGCGAUUAUUAAGUGUUUACACUGCUUAAAGUCUUUUUAAGGCAAUAUGCCAGGUCCCACAGUUCAGUGCGGGACUGCCACAACGGUACCCGUGGGCUAAAGAAGUGGAUGGAAGAGUUUUGCCCUAUUCACGAGUGCAAUAAAGGAACCUCGCGCUGUAUAUGUGACCCGCCUUAUGUACUCGUCACAUUUCCUACUGAAAGAAAAGAUCCAGAAUGUCGUGCCGAAUGGAUUAAAUUAGUAAGUUUGACAUAAGAUCAUAUAUUAUUACCUUCUUUGUAGUCGUUAGCAAGUCUCGUUAGCAAGUUUUGCUCGUCCUUGCUAACCAGAUAAUUAUUGAUAUCUAUGUACAUAAGGAUAAGGAUGAACUUUAUUGAUCCCACAGUGGGGAAAGUUCACCAUUACAGCAGCUCCAAAGAAAAAGUAUAAAGGCAGUGCAGGAAUAGAUAAGAAAAAGAAACAGAGUGCAAAAAUUGCAGAAAAAAAACAUGCAGGGUGGCCAUUUAUUUGCUGCUGUCGACUCAUUCUCCCAACCUUCUCUGAGCUCUAAAGGAUCUGGAAUUCUCAGGUGACACCUGUCAACUUCGAUCUCGAGCAGGGAUUUAUAAUCAAGGUUGACAGCCUCCCUUUCCUGCUGUUUUGUUAAAACUAUUGGGGCCUUUUGAAAAGACAAUGCCCAAGCAAGGGACACGAGUUUUUUCUUUCGCUUCCCGAUAACACUGUAUCCUCGUUUCUUACAAAAUUCCUGUAAAGCAUCGACUUUACAACGCUCAAAGUAAUCAAUAUCUGCGUUGCACUUGGCCAUGUUUAUGAUCUGGGAUGUCCCGACCUUUGAUCCGGACCACCAUACCUCGCUCACGGCGAGAUUCCGAAUUGGCUUAUUUAAUAAGGUCCUCGCCACUGUUCCCUCUAAGCUGCGUGCGUGUGCAAUUGCGCACUGCUGACACGGUCUCCGCGCACAGAAAAUCUGCACUGCCACAAAAAAAAAAAUCCGACCUAAAUUGUAAAUAAAAUAAACACGUAACAAUUCAUUCUGUGCUAUUUUUCAGUGUGAGUCAGUGAGUGACCAGUGACUGGCUGCUGCAGUCAAUGAUGCGAUUCACAUACAUAUUUACCAUAGACUGUAUAUAAUGGUAUUUACGCAGCUAAUCAUCGUCAGGCGUCCUUAUGUGCAGCCAUCGUUGUUCUCAUAGAUAUGAAUGAGUAGAUAGGACACGCCCCUUUGAGCUGAGUGCUACGGCGAGGCUAAGCUAGUGGGGACAAAGUUUCAGUGCAUUCCGUUGAUGUAGAUGGCGUGAAAACAGAAACAAGAAGUAUACCGGCUCACUGGGCUGCAUACACAAUUACACACUGCGUCGUACGAUUGAGACAAGGAAACUUGGAAUGACUUUUCAUAGGUUUCCCAGAGACUAUGGGUUGAGGAGGAAUUGGAAGUUUGUCGGCUUAGACCUGUGUCAUUCCAUCAGUGUUAAACUUCCCGGCUCAUCUUUGAAGAGUACGUGCCAGAAAGACCACGACCAAGCAGCCUUGAGAUCUUAGGCAGCGUCUCCCUGAGACCAAAGAACUACAGACUCUUCACAACCUGCUCAAACUCUUGGUACAGGACCUCACCACACGGGUCAAGAAGGUUUCCAUCUCAUUUCUACUCUGAAGCUCACCUUCUCCUGCUCAAACUGCUGACAAAUGUUUCUGCUGCUCUAAAGUCUGGUCUCCAGAACUUCCUAAAAACUCUCAAAUCUCUUCUGCUGCAGGUUGCUUUGUAGAACUGUUGCAGAAAACCUCACUAAACCACAUGGAGGGGCCUCAAGAUAGUCGUCCAAAUGAAACCAUACAAAAACCAAACUAGUACAACCCAAACGCUAAAGUCUCCUGCAGCCUACCAGAGAACCUCUGAGAACAGAGGAUCAGGACAGGAACUCUUACCUUCUGGACAACCACCGCUGGUUCACAAACAAGAAUACAGACUGUGUCUGACCAAAAACCUCUGAAGACUCACUACAGCCAAGAUAAAGACAACACAGCUGCACCAAAUCCGCUAAUCACUGCACACAUUAGCACCAUGUGCUAACUGUGGCUAAAGAACCUCAUUUACCAAGACAACGAUCCAGUACAAAGCCCUAAACCACACCAAGAAACACAGUAAAGACGAUUUUACUGCUGGAAGCUGCAAGCCAACGCCUAAAGAACAAACUAAAGCAAUGGAGCCAAACCCAGUUCACUGGUGAAGAGAAUCAGAGGAAAGGUUUGUCUACAGCUAAAUAAAGCAGGAAGACACUGAGCUGCUCAGGUGUUCCUGAUAAAACCAAGCAGCCACCUGGACAGCCAAUAGGAACACAGCUUCCUGGAAGUCCAGAGGGCUGGGUUAGUGAAGGAAAUUUAAUUUGAAGUUGAAGCAGAAAGUUAACAAAGAAAGUUGAAAACCACCUUCUGAUCCCUGAAAUCUCUGAGUUUUCACACAAAGAACACCUGAACAUGUCAAACUGGUUCCAUAGUAGAACCAUCAUUGUAAAAACGUCAUAGUAUGGUGUGUUGCUCAAAAAACAUUAGGACCCGGCUGUCAGGGGACAAACAUGUAAGAAACAUGAGAACAGAGAGAACCCAACCAGUAGGUCACAGUUUAUCAUCCCCCAGUCAUCUCCUGAAGUCCAUAUGGUGAGAGACAUCAGUAUCUGGUUGUUAAUUUACCAGAGGAUGCUUAUAAUCAUGAUGAUGUGGUCUGUACUCUACAGUAUUUUAGUGACUCAAUACAUGCCUAAGUUGUUUUUUUUAAAAUGCUUUUUAGUUUUUAAUAAACAUUUAAUAGCCUAUAUGUAAUCAAUAAAUGGCCUUUGCCUAUCUUAAGAAAAACUCACUCAGAAAUCUGAUAUGUUAACAGUACUAAAUAAAUCAAUAAAUACAUGCAUACACACAAAAAUAAGUUAAUACAUUAACUGUGUUAAGAUAAGAUUUAGAUUUUUUUAAAAAAGUUGUUUAUGUUUUUGCACAAUCCAGUAUUGCUCACUGGUUGGUCAUUACAUUUUGUUUAGUUUGAUUUCACUGUUUAAAAUGAUGCCACCUCUUUUCAGACAGAACCUGUGAUAAUAAAACAAUACAAAAUUUUUAGUUCCGUGUUAAUAAAGCACUUAAAGCUUUAAGUAUGGCUAAAUGCUUUUUUCAGAAUUAAAUAUAUCACUCCUUAGGUGGUAGUGGCCCCAAGUUCAGUAAAGUUGGAAAGAUAUUCACAGAUUCAGACUUCCAGCAUCAAUAACUCAUUAGAUAUAGGUUGUCAAAACAUAAACGGUGCCUCUUUCCCAUUGUUGCAAGGCAGACAAUGUGCUACAAGCCCAGUUUUAUCAAAAGUAGCUGUCUUUCAAGCUACAGGAAUAACAUUGGUGUCUAUGGAGUGAACAGGGUCCGUCUGCAAUUUGCAAAACCGCUGCAACAGUAAAGAGAGACAAAUAUUCAAUAACUUCACUCUUAUACAUUGUAGUGUCACUAAAAUCACUGCAGCCUUCAACUGGCUCCUGUUGACAAAGUGUUUUAACAGAAAUGUAAAUGCUGUAAUUUGAUUCUUUUAAUGAACCAUGUAACUUGAAUGGAUGUGAUGCUGGUGUGACCACAGUGCACACGUCUGAUGUUGCUCACAGUGGUCCAAGGGACGCUCAGGGAGUUUGUGUGUUUGCUCAGACUCAGGAAAAAUUACAGGGAACAUUGGUCCUCGCCUUACUAUGUGAAGUGUCUAGAGAUGAUACAUGUUGUGAAUUAGUGCUAUAUAAAUACAACUCAAUUGAAAUUAAAUUAAAGUGUAUCGUUUCUAUAUUUUAGAUUAUCCUUGAUGGCAUAAAAAAGGGUGGAAAAGGUACAUACUACAUACUAUUGUUUUAACCAGACGGAUGAACAAUUUGUUCUCACAGGCCAUCGCUCUAAUAAACAAUUAAAUCUAUAAUGACAGAAACAACUAUUUUUGUAUGAUUAACAACUCAUAACCACUGUAAAUACUGUAUAUUACAUAACUGUUAAUAUUUCAUUCUACAAACAUCGCUCUCUGCUCCAUUGCACUAUUGCAUUGAAAGUGUCAGUAAUCCUGCAUUUAUUGUUAACCUUAUCUAUUCCUAUCAUCAAAAUCUGCACAAUUUACACUAAAUGUUUGGUUCAGUGUAAACAUGUUCUUUUACACAUAUCUUUGGCUGUGAUAUUAAUCGAUAAACACUUACGUUCCUUUCUUUAAUCUGUGGGCCUGGUUUAAAUUCAUGUGUGCUUUUUGGUGUGAAUACUUUGACAGCAAAGAAAACAUUUUUUAUUCAUUGUACGUGUGCAUGUACUUGGCCAAUAAAGAACACCUGCCAUUG
ensembl:lncRNA